AAUCAACGCUGGCGGCGCGCUUAACACAUGCAAGUCGAACGAGAAAGGGGAGCAAUCCCUGAGUAAAGUGGCGUACGGGUGAGUAACACGUGGAUGAUCUACCUCUUGGCGGGGAAUACCUCUGGGAAACCGGAGACAAUACCGCAUAAGCUCGAAAGAGGAAACCCGAAAGGGGCCGAGAGAGGAGUCCGCGGCCGAUUAGCUAGUUGGUAGGGUAAAGGCCUACCAAGGCAAAGAUCGGUAGCCGGCCUGAGAGGGCACACGGCCACACUGGCACUGAAACACGGGCCAGACUCCUACGGGAGGCAGCAGUGGGGAAUCUUGCACAAUGGGGGCAACCCUGAUGCAGCGACGCCGCGUGAGCGAUGAAGCCCUUCGGGUGU
rnacentral:rRNA from 1 species